GGUGGUAUAGCUCAGAGGCAGAGCACGUGCCUGGCAUGCACAAGGUCCUGGGCUCAAUCCCCAGUACUGCCA
rnacentral:tRNA from 1 species